rnacentral:rRNA from 1 species
GACAGAGGGUGCGAGCGUUAAUCGGAAUUACUGGGCGUAAAGCGUGCGCAGGCGGUUUUGUAAGCCAGAUGUGAAAGCCCCGGGCUUAACCUGGGAAUGACAUUUGGGACUGCAAGGCUUGAGUGCGGCAGAGGAGACUGGAAUUCCUGGUGUAGCAGUGAAAUGCGUAGAUAUCAGGAGGAAUACCGAUGGCGAAGGCAGGUCUCUGGGCUGACACUGACGCUCAUGCACGAAAGCGUGGGGAGCAAACAGG